rnacentral:rRNA from 1 species
GACGAACGCUGGCGGCGUGCUUAACACAUGCAAGUCGAACGAAGCGUGAUUACGGAUUCUUCGGAUGAAGUAUGAUAUGACUGAGUGGCGGACGGGUGAGUAACGCGUGAGUAACCUGCCCUUCAGAGGGGGAUAGCGUUUGGAAACGAACGGUAAUACCGCAUAAUGUAUGUUGACCGCAUGAUCGAAAUACCAAAGAUUUAUCGCUGAAGGAUGGACUCGCGUCUGAUUAGGUAGUUGGUGGGGUAACGGCCUACCAAGCCGACGAUCAGUAGCCGGACUGAGAGGUUGACCGGCCACAUUGGGAGUGAGACACGGCACAGACUCCUACGGGAGGCAGCAGUGGGGAAGAUUGAACAAUGGGCGCAAGCCUGAUGCAGCAACGCCGCGUGAAGGAAGACGGUUUUCGGAUUGUAAACUUCUGUUCUUAGUGAAGAAUAAUGACGGUAGCUAAGGAGCAAGCCACGGCUAACUACGUG